UAAUAGCCGCAGAAUUCUGUGCUAAGGUAGCAUAAUCAUUUGUUUUUUAAUUAAAAACUAGAAUGAAAGGUUUUACAUUAAAUUUUUCUAUUUUUUAUAUCAAUUGAACUUAUAUUAAAUAUAAAAAUAUAUUUAUAUAAAAAAAAGACGACAAGACCCUAUUAAACUUUACUUAUGUUAAGCUGGGGCAGCUAUUUAAUAAAAAUUUUAAUUUUAUAUUAUAAAAAUGAUCCAAUCAAAUUGAUUAUUUAAUUAAGUUACUAUAGGGAUAACAGCGCUAUAUUUUUUUAAAGUUCUUAUUUAAAAAAAAGAUUACGACCUCGAUGUUGAAUUAUUAUCCUUUAUUAAAGCAAAAAUUAUAAAAGUAGGUCUGUUCGACCUUUAAAAUAUUACAUGAUC
rnacentral:rRNA from 1 species